rnacentral:rRNA from 1 species
UCGACUUGGAGGUUGUGCCCUUGAGGCGUGGCUUCCGGAGCUAACGCGUUAAGUCGACCGCCUGGGGAGUACGGCCGCAAGGUUAAAACUCAAAUGAAUUGACGGGGGCCCGCACAAGCGGUGGAGCAUGUGGUUUAAUUCGAUGCAACGCGAAGAACCUUACCUGGUCUUGACAUCCACAGAACUUUCCAGAGAUGGAUUGGUGCCUUCGGGAACUGUGAGACAGGUGCUGCAUGGCUGUCGUCAGCUCGUGUUGUGAAAUGUUGGGUUAAGUCCCGCAACGAGCGCAACCCUUAUCCUUUGUUGCCAGCGGUCCGGCCGGGAACUCAAAGGAGACUGCCAGUGAUAAACUGGAGGAAGGUGGGGAUGACGUCAAGUCAUCAUGGCCCUUACGACCAGGGCUACACACGUGCUACAAUGGCGCAUACAAAGAGAAGCGACCUCGCGAGAGCAAGCGGACCUCAUAAAGUGCGUCGUAGUCCGGAUUGGAGUCUGCAACUCGACUCCAUGAAGUCGGAAUCGCUAGUAAUCGUGGAUCAGAAUGCCACGGUGAAUACGUUCCCGGGCCUUGUACACACCGCCCGUCACACCAUGGGAGUGGGUUGCAAAAGAAGUAGGUAGCUUAACCUUCGGGAGGGCGCUUACCACUUUGUGAUUCAUGACUGGGGUGAAGUCGUAACAAGGUAACC